rnacentral:rRNA from 1 species
AUUGAACGCUGGCGGCAGGCUUAACACAUGCAAGUCGAGCGGGGUGAUGGUGCUUGCACUAUCACUUAGCGGCGGACGGGUGAGUAAUGCUUAGGAAUCUGCCUAUUAGUGGGGGACAACAUCUCGAAAGGGAUGCUAAUACCGCAUACGUCCUACGGGAGAAAGCAGGGGAUCACUUGUGACCUUGCGCUAAUAGAUGAGCCUAAGUCGGAUUAGCUAGUUGGUGGGGUAAGGGCCUACCAAGGCGACGAUCUGUAGCGGGUCUGAGAGGAUGAUCCGCCACACUGGGACUGAGACACGGCCCAGAAUCCUACGGGAGGCAGCAGUGGGGAAUAUUGGACAAUGGGGGGAACCCUGAUCCAGCCAUGCCGCGUGUGUGAAGAAGGCCUUAUGGUUGUAAAGCACUUUAAGCGAGGAGGAGGCUCUUUUGGUUAAUACCCAAGAUGAGUGGACGUUACUCGCAGAAUAAGCACCGGCUAACUCUGUGCCAGCAGCCGCCGUAA